rnacentral:sRNA from 1 species
GAGCGCGCGGUCGAGAUUCGAGAGCGGCUCGUCCAUGAGUAGAACCUGCGGUUCCAGUGCCAGCGCGCGGGCGAGCGCCACGCGCUGCUGU